rnacentral:misc_RNA from 2 species
UUAAGUUCAGCGGGUAAUCCUAUCUGAUUUGAGAUCUAAUCUAAAGGUAGACUAAGCUAGAUUAGCAGCUUCCUAGUUCAAAAACGGCUCUAACCGAAGUUAGAUUCCUCAGCGAAUAGUCUAUUACGCCAAGUCAAUCCGAAGUCGAAUAUGGAUGCUAAUAUAUUACGAAUGAGCUCGGGUUAGGAGCAACACUCAGA